UACGGGGGGGGCAAGCGUUGUUCGGAAUUACUGGGCGUAAAGGGCUCGUAGGCGGCCAACUAAGUCAGACGUGAAAUCCCCAGGCUCAACCUGGGAACUGCGUCUGAUACUGGAUGGCUUGAAUUCGGGAGAGGGAUGCAGAAUUCCAGGUGUAGCGGUGAAAUGCGUAGAUAUCUGGAGGAAUACCGGUGGCGAAGGCGGCGUCCUGGCUCGCAUCUGACGCUCAGACACGACAGCAUGGGGAGCGAACGGG
rnacentral:rRNA from 1 species